rnacentral:rRNA from 1 species
GAUGAACGCUAGCGGCAGGCCUAAUACAUGCAAGUCGAACGAUAUUAUCCAGCUUGCUGGAUAUGAAAGUGGCGCACGGGUGCGUAACGCGUAUGCAACCUACCUUAUUCAGGGGGAUAGCCCGAAGAAAUUCGGAUUAACACCGCAUAAAAUCACAGUUCAGCAUUGGACAAUGAUCAAAUAUUUAUAGGAAUAAGAUGGGCAUGCGUGUCAUUAGCUAGUUGGCGGGGUAACGGCCCACCAAGGCGACGAUGACUAGGGGAUCUGGGAGGAUGGCCCCCCACACUGGUACUGAGGCACGGACCAGACUCCUACGGGAGGCAGCAGUAAGGAAUAUUGGUCAAUGGAGGGAACUCUGAACCAGCCAUGCCGCGUGCAGGAAGACGGCCCUCUGGGUUGUAAACUGCUUUUAUUCGGGAAUAAACCUAUUUACGUGUAAAUAGCUGAAUGUACCGAAGGAAUAAGGAUCGGCUAACUCCGUGCCAGCCGCCGCGGUAA